CUUAACGCUGCUAUUAGGUUCUUCGUCUUCUCAGAGUUAUGCUCAGUCGUUCGCACACCUGUCAGUAGGUGGCGCCUUCCAAACAUCUUAUAAAUAAUAUGGUUGCAUUCUUCUCGAACCAUUUCUAGAGGCAGUUGUGUUUUGGGUUUAAUUAUUAUAAUUCAAAAAAUACCCACCACCGCCUUUCUUCAAAAGCCUAUAUCUCCCACAUUCUGUGGCUGCUUAUUGGUUUCCAUUUAUUUACAGCCAGCAACAGUUGAUUCAGUGUGUCUCCUGUCAAACUGUACAUCUAAAAAGAUUCAUGAAGGCAAAGGAAGACGAAGAUCUAGCAUGAAGAACAACUAAAUUGCUUGGAUUUAUUAGGAAAACAUUCUUUAUGGAGGAUUCCAAUUACUAUUUCUCCCACUAAAAUGACUGUAUCCCCACUGCAUCCUUGAAACAACUGUUGUGGUCUCCAGCUGAUAAUUUUUUUUUUGCUUGUUAUGGUUACUAUUUAGAAACUUCUCUCUUAAUAAACCUGAUAACCUCACUGUAAAGGGCUUGUGUUGUUUUGUUAUAUGGAUUUUUAUUUAGCUUUCUAAUUAAUUUUAUCAUGUGUUUAGAUCUGAGCAGCUUAAAGAAAAAACAACAAAAUAUACUAUUAAUUAUAUAGUACGCUAUAUCUGAGAAAUUUGUUUCUUCUGUCUUUGGGGAAAAUGGAUCAUUCAUCAAAUGGUGUCACAACACCAUCUGAUUCAUCUGGUGCUGGAGAUGUGCACCAUCCUUACAGAAGUUUGACUUUUGAUCAUACCAGUGAGCCAACUGGAGAACGAGCUUGUCAUCGGACAAGUUAUUCUCUGGAUAUCACUGAAAAAACAGAAAUAGACAAUAGUCAGCUGUCGAAGCGGGGCAUAAUUGUCACAGAUAUUGAUCAAGCGAUGUUGGACCAUGACACCAGAAUACUUGCGCAGAUGAACAACAUCAGGGCUCAAAAAAGUAUCGAUGUUAUGGCUGUUGCUCCACGAGCAACAGGCAUGCCCCUUCUCUCUCCAGAACCAACAACAAAAAGCAAAAAACAUUCAUUGCAAGAUGCCAAUAGUGCUAUAGCUUCUGCCAAACUUCUUAGUUCAGCAAAUAAUGGCCCUGAAUCAGGAACGGGCAAUGAAUAUGUGAAACAAUUUAAUAACACAGUACAAAGUUCUUUAAAUGGCAAUUAUUCUGCUUUUAAAGUUGACAAAUUACAUUGGCCAACAGAGGUUCCAACUAAAUUGAACUUCAGUCAUCUGGAGGUUUUUGAAGGGCAGAUGUUACUGCAGUGGUUAAGUUCAGGUUUUGCCAAUUCAAUUACCACUCAGAGCUGUGAUCAAGUUAACUAUAAGCAGGAGCGUCGGUUGGCCAUCACCCAAAUCUGUACAUACCUGAUGGCUGCAGGAGUAAUUAAACAGCUGGACACUACUCAGGAGAAAGACUUAAUUUUCAGGCCUGACUGCAUGUACUACUGGACUCAUACAGAAGCCUCAUGCCUUACGCAACCACCUGGUACAGCUCCUGGUAAAAUUGAAUCUUCCUUGUGGCCUUCCGUUUUGGUUUCUAAUUCUUCACAAAGUAAUUCAGCUUUGAAAUAUACUGAAGCUGAACAGCAAGCAUCUCUGGCAAUUCUCAGACAAGAAUAUAAAGAGAGUACAGAGAAUCUAGUGAAAGAACACAAUGUUAGAAAAGCAGAAUUGAUGAAAGAAUUUGAAACCCAAUUAAAACUGAAAAAUGAGGAACUCAAGAAACUAAAAGCUCAAUGUGAGAAGUAUGAAGUUCUUUUGGGGAUUGAACAGAUGACGCAGUCAGCUUGGAAGUAUGCACAAGCUGCUGAGAUGGAAUUGGAGAAAUCACAUUUGAAACCAAAUGAGCUGACUCCAAAUAUGAAUUACAGUCUUUCAGAUACUCCAAGUCCAUCUCAGUACCACACUCCUGCAGCAACACCUGACAAAAUGUUGGCAGACACUCCUCUGAAUUACAUCAAUCGAGAUGAGGACAAAUCUCCAAAUGCAGUGGAAAACAUUACACAGAAGCAUCAACCUCUCAACCGAUGCCUUAUUUCUCCUGAAGGGGAUGAUUCCAUGUGUUUCACAGUGUUGUCACCAACCUCAUCACCCAUGAAAGAUGAUAACCAGCUGUAUAUGAUGAGAGACACGUGUGCUUCACCUCUUUCUGUACCUCCUUCUUCCUCCAGCAUUCUUCAAUCAUCUCCAACUUCUCCCUCUGCACAAACUUCAUGCUCAAUAGUUCCAUCUCAGCCUGCACCAGUGGGAACAGUUUCACCACCUCCACCACCACCACCACCACCACCACCUCCACCACCACCACCACCACCACCAUUACCAACCUUACCCAGUAUCAGCUUAACAUCUUCUACACCACCUCCUCCCCCACCUUUGCCUGGUGCAGGCCCUCGUGUUCCACCUCCUCCCCCACCAUUGCCUGGUGCAGGCCCUCGUGUUCCACCUCCUCCCCCGCCAUUGCCUGGUGCAGGCCCUCGUGUUCCACCUCCUCCCCCACCAUUGCCUGGUGCAAGCCCUUGUGUUCCACCACCACCACCACCACCACCACCACCACCGCCACUGCCUGGUGCAGGCUCACCUUGCCCACCACCACCACCACCUCCACCAUUACCACGAAUGCCUGGGUUGAGACCAACUCCACCUCCAGCACCACCACCUCCAUCCUCAAGUGACACUAAAUCAUCACCUACGCUCCCUUUCACAGGAUAUACAAUGGCUAUGUAUGACACUUCCUCUAAACCAGUUGUGCACCCAAAAUCAAUCAUGAAACCACUAUUCUGGACCCGUAUUCAAGUCCAAGAGGUCAAAAGGAAACAGCCUGCUGGCUCUUCAACAGACCAUGUUUUACUGUGGGAAGAACUUAAUGAGACCAGCAUCAAUUUUGAUGAAUUUGACGAAUUGUUCUCAAAGCCUCCUGCUGAUACAACUUUACGAUCCAAAGCUAAAUCUAAACCAAAAGCAGAUAAGGUUGUAAAAUUGCUGGAUUCCAAACGAUCUCAAGCUCUUGGUAUUUUCUUGUCUAGUCUCCGACUGGAAAUGGCAGACAUUGAAAAUGCUAUCCUCUCAUUUGAUACAUCACUUAUGGACUUGGAGAAGUUAAAAACACUUUAUGAGAUUAGAGGUGAGAAAGCAGAAUUGCAGAAAAUUGAAGACAGAAUUGCAAAGAAUCCUGAUGUGGCCCUUGAUAAACCUGAACAAUUUUUACAUGACCUCAAUCAAAUACCUGACUAUGCUGAACGGAUAUUCUGCUUUAUAUUUCAAUCUACAUUCCAAGAAAACAUAUCAGUCUUGGAAAAUAAACUGAACAAUUUAAAGAUGACAUGUGAAGCAAUGGUGACUGGCGUGUCUAUAAGAAGAAUGCUCUCCCUUGUCUUAACUAUGGGAAACUAUAUGAACGGAGGUCACAUGAAACGUGGUCAAGCUGAUGGAUUUGGGCUGGAGAUUUUAUCAAAACUGAAGGAUGUUAAAAGUAAGGACAACAGGACAAGUUUAUUGCAGUAUGUUGUCAAAGAAUAUGUGCAGAGAUAUGAAAAAGAAGAUGCUGGCACUGAUAAAGUUGCUCUGCCUCUGCCAGAUCCGAGUGAUAUCAAUCAAGCCUCUUUGGUGAAUUUUGAAGAUAUUCUGGUUGAAAUGAGAAAAAUUGAAAAAGAUUUCCAAUCUGCUGAGACUCGGUCUGAUAAAGUCAUAGAAUCUUCUGGAGAGAAGUUCUUACAACCAUUCAAAGAUAUCAUGACUGAGUUUUUCAUUAAAGGUCGACAGGAACUAAAAGAUCAACAGGAGAAUCUUCGAGAAUGUCAAAUCAAAUUUGACUAUGUAGUGAAAUUCUACUGUGUUAAGCCAAAAGCUGGAGAGAAAACUGUUACACCUGUAUAUUUCUUUUCACUGUGGAUGACAUUCUGCAAAGAAUUUAAAGAUUUUUGGAAGAAGGAACAGCAAGUUAUUGUGAAACAAAGAAUCAAAGAAGCUCAAAACAAAGUUAAAGAACUACAAGAAGUGAAAAGACCCUCAUCGAUGCAGAUACGUAACAUUCGGAAAGGCGGUCUGAAAGAUCGUUUGAGUAGCAAACUGAAGGGGGAACUGUUACCAAGGUGAUUGAGAGGUAGGCAUCAGGCAUAUUUCAUUAUCCUUUUCUGUAUAUGCUUACACACACACACACACAUGGACACACAUAAGCACUGAACCAAGAGAUGUGAGAAGCAAAUGAAGAUUUAAUAUUCCCGUUCACACUUGAUCAGCUUAUCAUUAUUGACCGUGUAUAUGACUGUGAGUAGUUGAGCAGAUUCAUUUGCCUACAAGCAUGACCAAAUAUUCAAAUAACUAACCAGUUUGGAAUAAUGUGAAUGAUGGUUAACUUUUGAAAAACGACUGACAGAAAGGACAAACAUAUAAUCAUUUUAUUUCUGGAGACCUUUUUUUCUGAUGAAAACUCCAUCAUUUACCAAUGUUAUUCAAAUUAUGUGGCAGUGAUGUGUGGGUGGAGUAUUUAAUUUCCACUACAUUUAAACCAAUAUGGAUUUUUUGUCUUUUGGUUUAUGUAAAUGUUGACUUUGAAAUGAAAAAAGAAAUAACUAAAAGCCUUGUCAACAUCCUGUAAAUGAAAGAAAGUUCUUUCUCUCUCUCUCUCUCUCUCUCUCUCUCUCACACACACACACACACUCUUUCUCUCUUUGCACACACAAACAGAAUGAUCUAUGAGAUGUUAACUCAUUCUCUCAGUUGAUCUCUGAUUAAAUAUCCAAAUAAGGCCUUUUUUACUCUUGGUGUGUUUGUAUAUGCAUGCAUGUGUGUGUGAAUGUGUAUUUAUAUAUAUACAUCUACGUUUGUGUGCAUGUAUAUAUUCUAUGCCUUUGUAAAUGUGUGCAUGCAAGAGAAUGUUGGCCCAUGAAUGCAAAAACCCUCUAGAAUUGUUAAGCAUUAAACAGAAGAAAAUCUUAUAUAGUUGUUAAGUCACAAUGGAAAGACAUCCUGUAGAAUUGUUGACCUUUUGGUUAAGAAAAGAAAAGGAAUAAAAACAAAGACUUGUACAAAUAAAGGGAAUGUAUGAAACAAAUUCUAUUAUUUUAUAUAAAAAAAAUUGAUUGUUGAGCCAUACACAGAAAGUAUUUUAAAUCAAUUUUAAUCAAAGAACCAAAAAUUUGUUAAGUUAAUAUUUUUCCAACAUCAGAAGAUUAUGUGUACAGCAUUGAUCUGCAUACUAACUCAAUUUGCAUGAUUGUUGACUCAGGAACGUAUUGGCUCUAUGAUCAAGAGGAAUACUUAUGUAAAUGUGCUCCUACUAACAAAAGAUAAGCUACAUGAAUUAACUGCCUAUGAAUUAUGAAGAACCUGAUAUGGAUGUUAUCUGUGAAUAUAAACAAUUGAACUAUAAAUAAAAGAUUAUUUAUAAAAAUGUGAUGUACACUUUGAGAAAUUUGACUUCAUUAGCAGUGGUUUUCUUUUAUAUAUGUUGACCGAACAUUACAAGAUUUUAUGUAUAAAUGUUAAUCUUCUGUCUUGUUAAACCCAAAUCCAAAAUGAAACUAUCAUCAACUCCCAUAUACCUCCAGUUUUUACUGCAAUCAGACAUGACCAUAUUUAUUUUUAUAUCUGUAUCUCCUCCCACCCCUCUCUUUCACACAUGUGUGUAGAUGUAUGCACAUAUGUGUAUGGAUGUAUAGUAAUAUUUUGAACUUGUUUAAAAGCUAGCACUGUUGGGUAGAAAGUAAGCUCACUUCAAGUCAUGUUUGAACCCUGGUUUUGUUUCUUUGUUGUGACCAUUUUACUUCACUUUCAGUGCUAAUGUCUAUGAGAAAGAUAUGAAAUUCACUAUACAAGCUACACACUUUCCACUUUUCUGAACCUAGUAAACAAAAUAUUUGUAUUUAAUAAAAUAAAAUAAAAUAUUUUGAAAUU